rnacentral:rRNA from 1 species
GACGAACGCUGGCGGCGUGCUUAACACAUGCAAGUCGAACGGAAAGGCCCUGCUUUUGUGGGGUGCUCGAGUGGCGAACGGGUGAGUAACACGUGAGUAACCUGCCCUUGACUUUGGGAUAACUUCAGGAAACUGGGGCUAAUACCGGAUAGGAGCUCCUGCUGCAUGGUGGGGGUUGGAAAGUUUCGGCGGUUGGGGAUGGACUCGCGGCUUAUCAGCUUGUUGGUGGGGUAGUGGCUUACCAAGGCUUUGACGGGUAGCCGGCCUGAGAGGGUGACCGGCCACAUGGGGACUGAGAUACGGCCCAGAAUCCUACGGGAGGCAGCAGUGGGGAAUAUUGCACAAUGGGCGGAAGCCUGAUGCAGCAACGCCGCGUGCGGGAUGACGGCCUUCGGGUUGUAAACCGCUUUCGCCUGUGACGAAGCGUGAGUGACGGUAAUGGGUAAAGAAGCAACGGCUAACUACGUG